rnacentral:lncRNA from 1 species
GUUUGUUAAUAUGUAUAUCAAAUGCUAGUUAAUAUGUAUACCUUGCUUCAAGAUGUUUCGUUCUGGGUUUACCAACACUUCUUUUUCUGGUUUUUCUUUCUACCAUAUAGAUCCUCCUACUCUUGGUUGUUUGCACUAGUACCUCAUCUAUAUGUAAUGGUAAAUUUCUGAUGUAUAACCUCAUACCUGUUGAUAAGAAAAUGAGCAUAAAAAUGAUCACAAAAAAUGACGAGGGUAAUGAUAUGUUAAAGAUUAUGACUUAAUCCAACUAAUGAUAUUAUUAUGACACUUUUUUUUAUAUAUGAAAUGAGAAGCAACUCUGAUGUUUUGUAUAAUGUUUGUAUAGAAUGUUUUGGUAAUUCAAGAAUCCAUGAAAGAAUCUUGAAAAAGAUGCAUCACCUAAUCUUUUCACAUACAACAUCCAAAACAUAAAAAAAUCAUACCAAAAAAGUGUGAUAUAGUCAUUUCAUUUAGGAUAGAGACCUUGAUGGUUAUAUAACAUAAAAAUAAGGACCAAAAUUACAUUUGAUGCAAUUUAUAAUCAAAUACAACAAUAAACAAUUACAUUUGAUGUAAACAAAAAGAAAUAUGAUGCAAUUUAUAUUCAACCCUUAUUGAUGGGUACUGCAAGAACGGUCAAAUAGAGGAGGCGUUUUCACUUUAUAAUGAGAUGGUUCAAAUAGGUUUAACUCCAAAUGUUGUAACUUAUACUUCAUUGGUUGACGGUUUAUGCAAACAAGUGAAACCUACAAGGGUAUGUUGGGAAAAGGAGUUUCCCCGAAUACCAACACAUAUGAUGUUCUAAUAAGAGGACAUCGUAAAGCAAGUAAUAUGAAGGAGGCAUGGUUUUUGUAUAAAGAAAUGGUGGAGAAGGGAUAUGAUCUCACAGUAAAUGGUUAUAAUGCUCUCAUCAAGGGGUUCAUUAAAAGGAAAAAUUUGGAGGCAAAAAGUUGUUUGAUGAAAUGGAAAAAAAAUCCAAAAAUACCCUUUGGACUUUUCUACAGUCAAAAUCAAAAGCAUGAUAUCGAUAUGAUAUGAGUUAAGCUUUCAACAUGCAUCCUCAUAUAAUGUACAAUUCCAUUUAGGUGAAAAAGCACUUGUUUUCAAGAAUAUAAAUAGUUCACUUGUAGCAUGGAGAGGCAUAAGCACGUUUGUAACAGAACUAGCAAUGAUAACAGAUUGAUCAUACCCAUCCAUGGACCCCACUGACCUCCCACCUUCUGAGAAAAGAUCACCAAACAAAGGUGUUCUAAAACACAAUGAUGUUGCAGAAAAUUGUGUGAACGAAGUAGAGAAACGCCUCCAGUAGCAACAAUACAAGGCUUUCGAUAUUGAACUCAAUAGAAACAUUGUUUGUGGCAAACUCAUAUCUACUUGCAAACAAACUAGACAACACGUUGAUAAAUGAUGCAAAAGAUCCCAACAGCUUAGCAUAAUAUUCAACAUUUCAAGGAGACAAGGAAUAUGAAGGAAACAAAAUAGAGUCAAUGAUGUUUACAAACUAUAUGAAUGGAUGCUAAUGCCACUCCAAAGAUGUACAAAAUAGAGUUGAUGAUGUUUUCUAGGUUUAUCAACAAUCAAUAUGAAGUAAUAUGUCGUACACAAAGAAGACAUUGUCAUAAACAAAACAUUAAUCAACGAAUCAAUCAACUACACCGAAAAGCCGAUCGUACCUGUAAACAAUGUGAAAGAAGGAGGAGGCGGAAGCAGCUGUAGGCCGGAGUAGGAGACUUCGUAUGUGUUUUCGACCGGAGACCAGCGGUGGAGGCGUCGUUGGCCGAAGGCGGAGGCCAAAACAAUGUGAAAGAAGGAGGAGGCGGAAGCAGUUGUAGUCCGGAUUAGGAGACUUCGUAUGUGUCGUCGACCGGAGACCGGCGAUGGAGACGUCGUCAGCCAAAGGUGGAGACAUCGAUGGCCAGAGGCGGAGGCGUCGUUGGCAGAAGGCUCCGUCGUUCUCGUGAUAAGCAAACAAGUAUAAGCAAAAGUGAAG